UGAGAAGGAUUCCUGAGUCGCAUCUUCCUUGCUGGUCGAGAUAUGCAGUAUUUUGGUGUGAAGCUCCAGGCAUACUAUAAAGAGAUUCCUGAGCCAUAAGAAGAGCUUGAUGAAGAUACCCAUUUAGGACUUAUUGAUGCAAAUUCUCUGUCUCUGUAGGUUACUUAGAUUUUUAUCUUAUCAACUGCAAGAAAAAUUUUAUCAGAUAAGGGUAGAAACAUGCAAUUAUCAAUAUGGUGUUAGGAAUCAUUUUACUAGGAGAAUUGCAAUACAAUGUUUUCCUGUUUGUCAUGAUCAAUAAUGACUUAGGUUAUUGAGCAUUUUAACAGUAAUAGAUUUAGUUUCAUCAUAUGGCAUUGUCCUUAAAUCCAACCAAAUGUGUUUGGUAACUCUCAUAACAUUUCUGCCACUAUUGUGCUAAUAUAUCUUGUUUUCAUAUUUCUGUUGUGGGCUGCACGGUCUGUAGCUAGGUGACAUUAUUGACUACAUUUUGCUUUCAGUAGUAUGCAUAGUACCUUCCAGCACCAUGACACUAAACAACAUAUAUGAAGCUUGUACAUAAGUACCACCUCAAUUUCUCCAUUAGUAAGUGUCAACAUCAAAAAUAAGGCCUUAGCAUAUGGUUUUAAGAAAAACAAUUAGCCCUACCAAUAGCCUAUGAUGAUUGCAAGCAUCUGUAGGAUCCCUUUUGACAACAACUCAACAAGCUGUAUAUCAUUCCCGUGCCUGGAGUUUUACUUGAUGGUAUCUCUAACUGUGCCCUUGUCAUUCAGUAUCAUCCAGACACAACAGAGAAGAUACACAUAUUGACUACCAAAUACUAUGAAAGUAUGCACAGUACCUGCACAUGUUCAAAUAGACAAAAUCAAAGUACUUGUAAGAGGAACUGGAACCAGUCUCAUCUUAAAUAGGGACACCAUUGACAACCUUCCUGGGAAAUGCAAUAUCAGUUUUCUCCAAUGCAAUGUCACUGGAUUAUACAAGUUAGUCAAUACCCCAAACCAAAGAGUAGUACUUGGCCAAGACAUCUUGAACUCACAAUUUUGUUAUCAUUUUUGUUUGUAUUGUAGAGCUGUUUAGUGUUGGCUAUUUUUUGCCUAACAAAUUUGUUUUAAUAUUUUUUUGUUUAUGGGCUUCCUUUCUUUCCUUUUGGGUGGUAGGGACAGAGAGAGGGAGAG